GCAAAGGAGGCUCUGGCGGAAAUGAACGGAUCUGAAGGCAGGCGUGAGCACUUGCCGGCACCUCCCUUCCUUUGAGGCCUGAGGAUGAAACCCUGUGAAGACCCUUCGAGAGAGUACCACCUUGCUCCUGGACUUGCUGGGCUCCAGAACUGAUGAUGCUGACACGGGGAAGUGCCACCAGCCUACUGGAAAGUGACAUCUCCUGUGUGCAAUGUGUCUGACUGCCCGGCUGUGAAUACUGCCAGGGUCAGUGGGAACACGUGGCCAGCGGGGCACCAUCACCAACUAGCAGCCUCUCCCCCCAGAGCCUUGAGGGCGCAGAUGCCCAUGCCAUGGAGUGGAGUCAUUAGGAAUCGGUAAGCUCUACUUACCUCCUGUGCUUCGAAUGGAUUUUGUUUAGCUGCAAGUUGAUAUAGUACAAUUUUUAAGUGAUGACUGUGCUGACAAUACCUAAAAAUGUCGCUGUUGGCCCUCACUGACCAGCCUCCUCCAGGGCUCCACUGCUAUCACAGAAUAAGGCAAGCCCACGGCCCAUCUUCCAGAGCUGUUGUGAGUGCAAGCCUAAACUCCAGCAUCGUACCUGCCACGUGGGUGCCCAGUAAACACC